rnacentral:rRNA from 1 species
GACGAACGCUGGCGGCGUGCUUAACACAUGCAAGUCGAACGGAAAGGCCCUGCUUUUGUGGGGUGCUCGAGUGGCGAACGGGUGAGUAACACGUGAGUAACCUGCCCUUGACUUUGGGAUAACUUCAGGAAACUGGGGCUAAUACCGGAUAGGAGCUCCUGCUGCAUGGUGGGGGUUGGAAAGUUUCGGCGGUUGGGGAUGGACUCGCGGCUUAUCAGCUUGUUGGUGGGGUAGUGGCUUACCAAGGCUUUGACGGGUAGCCGGCCUGAGAGGGUGACCGGCCACAUUGGGACUGAGAUACGGCCCAGACUCCUACGGGAGGCAGCAGUGGGGAAUAUUGCACAAUGGGCGGAAGCCUGAUGCAGCAACGCCGCGUGCGGGAUGACGGCCUUCGGGUUGUAAACCGCUUUCGCCUGUGACGAAGCGUGAGUGACGGUAAUGGAUAAAGAAACACCGGCUAACUACGUG